AUUUAAGCUAUCCAGCCGCCACGUAGCAAUCUCUUAGUAGUUUGGAUAACUGAGUAUUAUUACCUUCAUUACCCUCUUACGAAUAACCUUCUAGAUUUUAGAAAUUUAAGCUACGGCAGCUUCAGUUAUAUUAAGUUAAUUGGCUAUUGCAUCUACUGAAAUUAAAGCCACGCAUUUAAGACUGUAUUGUGAACUGGCUUACCGACUGGGAGUCACGCAAUUACUGGACUGGCUUACCGACUGGGAGUCACGCAAUUACUGGACUGGCUUACCGACUGGGAGUCACGCAAUUACUGGACUGGCUUACCGACUGGGAGUCACGCAAUUACUGGACUGGCUUACCGACUGGGAGUCACGCAAUUACUGGACUGGCUUACCGACUGGGAGUCACGCAAUUACUGGACUGGCUUACCGACUGGGAGUCACGCAAUUACUGGACUGGCUUACCGACUGGGAGUCACGCAAUUACUGGACUGGCUUACCGACUGGGAGUCACGCAAUUACUGGACUGGCUUACCGACUGGGAGUCACGCAAUUACUGGACUGGCUUACGAGCAGUUCCUAUCAGUAUCAGUGGGUGCC